rnacentral:rRNA from 1 species
UACAGAGGGGGCAAGCGUUGUUCGGAAUUACUGGGCGUAAAGGGCGCGUAGGCGGCCUUCUAAGUCGAACGUGAAAUCCCCGGGCUCAACCCGGGAACUGCGUCCGAUACUGGAAGGCUUGAAUCCGGGAGAGGGAUGCGGAAUUCCAGGUGUAGCGGUGAAAUGCGCAGAUAUCAGGAAGAACACCCGUGGCGAAGGCGGCUCUCUGGGACGGUACUGACGCUGAGACGCGAAAGCGUGGGGAGCGAACAGG